UACGGAGGAUGCAAGCGUUGUCCGGAAUCAUUGGGCGUAAAGGGUCCUGAGGUGGUUUGCUCAGUCCACUGUGAAAGUUCAGGGCUUACCCUUGAAAAUGCGGUGGAAACUAGUAGGCUAGAGUACGGUGGGGGCAGAGGGAAUUCCCGAUGUAGCGGUGAAAUGCGUAGAUAUCUGGAGGAACACCGGUGGCGAAGGCGGCAUCCUGGACCGGUAUUGACGCUGAGGCGCGAAAGCCAGGGGAGCAAACGGG
rnacentral:rRNA from 1 species